GUUUUAUAUAUAGGAGCUAAAAUUAACUUUUCAAAAUGAAAAUCUCAUAAUUUUCAUAGGCCAACCAUUCCAUUUCCACCCACAAAUUAAAAACUCUUGAAUGGCUUCCCAGUGUUCUUAGCAUACGAAAAAUCUUACAAUGGCCUGUAAGGCACUGCAUGAUCUGGUCUCAGCCUAUACAACUGCCGCCUCAAAUGAAUAUUUCUUCCACUCUACUAGCUAUAAUUAAAAUUUAAUUAUUCCAAUGCAUCAUGUAUUCUCCCCCCACCAGGUCUAUGUGCUUGUAAUUCCACUCUAUUUGGAAUAAUUUUCUCACCAAUUUUUGCCCAUUAACUAUUAAUAAUCCUUCCGUUUUUUACAAGUAAAUUUAAUGUAGUAUCAAUAGAAGCAAACAAAUGAACACCUAAGGUUCUUUAUGCAUAACAGUAUAUACAUAUUUUGUUUAAAAUUUACUUUCUUGAAAUCUAGCUAUAUACCUUUACAUUGCACCUUAUUUAUUUAUCUACAUCCAUUCUUCCUUUUUCUCAUGGUAUAGCAGUUACUAGGUUUAGGUGAGAUGACACAUGGCCCAUGUUGGUACCAAAAUGGCUGCAACAGUUCAGUGAUAGGCCCUGUCUAUCCUAAGCCAACUAUAAUCCUAUCCCUAUGAGGUACAUCAGCCUGAGGAUGAAGCUGACACGAAGGACUGCAGAAUAUAACUGGAGUACAAUACAUUUUCUUUGUUUAAUCCAGUUUGACUUAGGUUUCAUAUUGUUAUUUAUAUUUGUUAUAUUUAUUUAUAUGUUAUUCAUUACUUAUAACUAAAAGAACUCUAAACAAUCUAAAGUAAACAAAGACUACUUAAAUUGAAAAUAAAAAAACUUUUCUUAGAAACAAUGUUCCUCUUCAUCUUAACGUAUCUCAUAUAAUUUUAACAGUAAAACUUAAAAUACAAUAUACAUCAAUAUGCUUCAAAAUUACAACUUUAAAAGCCAGACAAUCUCCCUUCCACUCCAGCCUGGUGGGGGCUGGAGUCUGCGUGAUAAGGCAAUGAGAGGUGUCAGAUGGGGAUGGUUUACUAAUUUCCUCCCCUCCUAUUUAAUAAAGAAGGGACAUAGGUAAAUUGGGGAGUUCUGAUAACUGAUAACCAAAAAAUUUAGGUAACAGUUAAAGCUUUAGGCCUGCAAAUAAUUUAACCUCAGAACCAAUUCACUCCUCAUUGUCUGGCCACCUAAAGAUAAAGUAAAAUUUUGGGGUCAAAAUAGGCAAACUUGGCCCUAAAAUAAUGUUCACCGUCACCUAGCACAGGUAACCAACUUUUGUUCACAUUACUGUAGAUCCUUGCUGACUAAAAAGAAAUGUAAUAGCUCUAUUAAGGAACUUCAACUCAAAAUGAAGAAAAUAUUAAUAUGACCAGAAUGCUAUUUCAUGCUAGACAGUGCCAGGUUUAGACUCAUGUUGUUCAGC
rnacentral:lncRNA from 1 species